UUAUCUUUCUUCUUCUACCACAAACAACAUUUCUUCCUCCUCCGUCUUCAUCAGAAGAAAACCAACACCACCAGGAUCAAUAUUAUCUCCACCACCAUCAGCAUCUCGUUCUCCAUCAUCACAAACACCACCAACAACAUCAUCAACACCACCACCAUAAAAACCAACAACAUAUCAUCUCCACCACCAGAAACAACAAACUCACCAUCAAAAGACACCACCACCACCAUCAACAACAUCACCGUAUUCCUUCAUUAUCCUGACCACUACAAACUCCAGCAACACCAUCGUCGAAAACGCCACCAAUAUCAAAAUAUUUUUUUUUAAAUACCGUAAUUAAAUUGAGGUUAAUUUCUUAGAAUGAUUGAAGCUAAUUAAAGAAAUUGGGUUUUGUUUUCUGUCAAUUUCACAAGAUGAAUGAAACCAAAGAACUGUACAUUAUGUCCACAAAAAGGUAAGAAGAGUUGUUUCUCAGGCUGUUGCAAAUCAUGUAGUGGACCUUGUUGCUGGCCCAGGUGCUAUUGCGGUGAUUGCGACUGUGGCUGCUUCAGUAAAAACUCCUGUAGCAAGUGUUGUUGUGCUCUUCCAACAUGGAAAUCAAGCACCAGUUGAUGAUCUUGCUACAAAUUUACAAAAUUGUUCUUGUUUUCAAUGUCCGAGAGAAAGAGAAGACGAUGUCAAGUAUUGAUUUUGAGAUGCAGACCUUUGUAUUUCUUUGAUUUUCAGUUCCUUAGUUGAAUCUCAAACUGGGAGUCGCCCCCCGAUACAAGAGGCUGGUUUGUUUUGAGUUAUGUUAGUUGAUUUUGUACCAUCGUAAUUCAGAUUCAUGGUGAUCACAACUUAACGGAAUAACAAGAGUGUGCAGCCGUUUGGUCGGUUGGAGAUGGGAUCCAAAUUAACUGUCAAAGUGAUCUUUGUGUGGCCUCUUUACUUGAUUUUCUCGCUUGCAAUACGAAGUGAGUAUAGGUUCGCCAAAACGAUGUUUACUUUUUUUUUGAGUUUUUGAAUAUGAUUUGUAGUUGUAUUACGAACCGUUAAAGAUACGUGUAAUUGAAAAAGAUAGGGACAUAUUGGUCUGUUCCAGUUAAUUAAUAAAAAAUAUUCUGGAUGAAAUAUCCACAAUGAAAAAA